CCUACGGGGCGCACCAGUGAGGAAUUUUGCGCAAUGGGGGAAACCCUGACGCAGCAACGCCGCGUGAGUGAAGAAGGCUCUCGGGUCCUAAAACUCUGUCAAGUGGGAAGAACCCUUCGGGUGUCAACAGCACCCGGAGCUGACGGUACCACUGAAGGAAGCACCGGCUAACUCCGUGCCAGCAGCCGCGGUAAUACGGAGGGUGCAAGCGUUAUUCGGAAUUACUGGGCGUAAAGGGCGCGCAGGCGGCCUGGUAAGUCAGUUGUGAAAGCCUUCCGCUCAACGGAAGAAGCGCGACUGAAACUGUCAGGCUUGAGUAUGGUAGAGGGAAGUGGAAUUCCUGGUGUAGCGGUGAAAUGCGUAGAUAUCAGGAGGAACACCGGUGGCGAAGGCGACUUCCUGGCCCAAUACUGACGCUGAGGCGCGAAGGCGUGGGGAGCAAACAGGAUUAGAUACCCUAGUAGUC
rnacentral:rRNA from 1 species